CGGCAGCACAGAGAAGCUUGCUUCUUGGGUGGCGAGUGGCGAACGGGUGAGUAACAUAUCGGAACGUACCGAGCAGUGGGGGAUAACUAAUCGAAAGAUUAGCUAAUACCGCAUAUAUUCUGAGGAAGAAAGCAGGGGACCAUUUGGCCUUGCGCUGUUUGAGCGGCCGAUAUCUGAUUAGCUAGUUGGUGGGGUAAAGGCCUACCAAGGCGACGAUCAGUAGCGGGUCUGAGAGGAUGAUCCGCCACACUGGGACUGAGACACGGCCCAGACUCCUACGGGAGGCAGCAGUGGGGAAUUUUGGACAAUGGGCGCAAGCCUGAUCCAGCCAUGCCGCGUGUCUGAAGAAGGCCUUCGGGUUGUAAAGGACUUUUGUCAGGGAAGAAAAGGGCGGGGUUAAUACCCCUGUCUGAUGACGGUACCUGAAGAAUAAGCACCGGCUAACUACGUGCCAGCAGCCGCGGUAAUACGUAGGGUGCGAGCGUUAAUCGGAAUUACUGGGCGUAAAGCGGGCGCAGACGGUUACUUAAGCAGGAUGUGAAAUCCCCGGGCUCAACCUGGGAACUGCGUUCUGAACUGGGUGACUAGAGUGUGUCAGAGGGAGGUAGAAUUUCACGUGUAGCAGUGAAAUGCGUAGAGAUGUGGAGGAAUACCGAUGGCGAAGGCAGCCUCCUGGGAUAACACUGACGUUCAUGCCCGAAAGCGUGGGUAGCAAACAGGAUUAGAUACCCUGGUAGUCCACGCCCUAAACGAUGUCGAUUAGCUGUUGGGCAGCAUGACUG
rnacentral:rRNA from 1 species